AGAGUUUGAUCAUGGCUCAGAACGAACGCUGGCGGCAGGCCUAAUACAUGCAAGUCGAACGCUCCAGCAAUGGAGAGUGGCAGACGGGUGAGUAACGCGUGGGAACCUUCCCAGUGGUACGGAAUAGCUCAGGGAAACUUGAGGUAAUACCGUAUACGCCCUUCGGGGGAAAGAUUUAUCGCCAUUGGAUGGGCCCGCGUCGGAUUAGCUAGUUGGUGGGGUAAAGGCCCACCAAGGCGACGAUCCGUAGCUGGUCUGAGAGGAUGAUCAGCCACACUGGGACUGAGACACGGCCCAGACUCCUACGGGAGGCAGCAGUAGGGAAUAUUGGACAAUGGGCGAAAGCCUGAUCCAGCCAUGCCGCGUGAGUGACGAAGGCCUUCGGGUUGUAAAGCUCUUUUGGCGGGGACGAUAAUGACGGUACCCGCAGAAUAAGCUCCGGCUAACUUCGUGCCAGCAGCCGCGGUA
rnacentral:rRNA from 1 species